GGCCCCAUCGUCUAGCCCGGUUCAGGAUGUGUGGUUCUCAGCCACAAGGCACGGGUUCAAAUCCCGUUGGGGCUA
rfam:Candidatus Omnitrophica bacterium 4484_70.1 ex4484_70.1_scaffold_5627, whole genome shotgun sequence.